UCUAUUUUAUAUUUCAGAUUCUUCAAAGUAGCCACCCAUUGCCUUGAUGACAGCUUUGCACACUUAAAAUCUUCUCUCACUGAUCGAGACAGGCCAGGGGUGUCAAACUUAUUCCAUGGAGGGCCUUGUGUCUGCUGAAUCUUUUUCUUCUUCUUCAAUUAAGACCUAGACAACCAGAUAGAACGCCAUGAUUGUGAGUUCUGAGGCUGCAUUGGCAACUGCCCUUCCCUGACUGGAGUGGACUUUUAACGGAACACAUGCUAACCACCAACAUACUGUUCCCUCAUUUGGUCACUCAGUUUACCAUAAUACCAGUUAACCUCAUGCAGCCUGAUUACUGUGAUUAAGACUCAACAUACAUGGUAAGACUCUAAGGAUCAAGCAGGGCUUUCUUAAACCAGGAAACUUGAUAAAAAUGUCCUCUUUCUUUGGCUAUCUGCAUAUGGGUACAAUGAUCAUUGAUUGUGAGUUACAAGCAUCAGUAUCACAUGUUGUUUGAGGUCAACUGGUAAUGUGUUUUUCAUUUUCCUCUCUAAGCUGUCUCCUGUCUCCAGAGAUAGACUAAUAUUAUUUUCCUACAAUUAUUUUGUCACAAGAAAAAAAGUGCAAUUUUCUGAGUAUGAACUGUGAAUUAAUUUCAUGUUAAUGAAUUGGCCCCUGGCAAUGUGACUAUUCUCCCUGAAAGGGAGACUGUCUACGGGACAAUUACAUGCUAACUAAUAAAUACUUUUUAAAAUCAGUACUACUGACACACUCAUAAUCUCAGACUCACUAUUAAGACAAUCAAAAAAUGUCCAUAAUGAUGGUACAACUGGGUGCAUGCAAGCAUCUACUGGUAAGAUUGAUAUGGUUUGUGGUUUAGCACAAAGGGCAUAAGUGCUCUUAUACCUGCACCCGAGUGGAAAUGAAGGUUGCUCUAUGCCCACUCAGAAAAUGGAGAAGGCUUGAGGAUGGCAGGGGAUUAGUUUUGUCAGGAAGAAGAAACCCACUGUGCACUUCAAUUCAGUGUCUAUUUCAUGUUGGUUCAGUGUAAUUUCAUUGAAAUGAUGUGGAAACAACAUU